rnacentral:rRNA from 1 species
GCUGCCAUCAUUCAGUUGGGCACGUCUAGCGAGACUGCCGGUAAUAAACCGGAGGAAGUGGGGAUGACGGUCAAAUCAUCAUGCCCCUUAUGACCUGGGCUACACACGUGCUACAAUGGUUGGUACAACGAGUUGCGAGUCGGUGACGGCGAGCUAAUCUCCUUAAAAGCCAAUCUCAGUUCGGAUUGUAGGCUGCAACUCGCCUACAUGAAGUCGGAAUCGCUAGUAAUCGCGGAUCAGCACGCCGCGGUGAAUACGUUCCCGGGCCUU